rnacentral:rRNA from 1 species
GGCCAGACUCCUACGGGAGGCAGCAGUGGGGAAUAUUGCACAAUGGGGGAAACCCUGAUGCAGCGACGCCGCGUGAGUGAAGAAGUAUUUCGGUAUGUAAAGCUCUCUCAGCAGGGAAGAAAAUGACGGUACCUGAUUAAGAAGCCCCGGCUAACUACGUGCCAGCAGCCGCGGUAAUACGUAGGGGGCAAGCGUUAUCCGGAAUUACUGGGUGUAAAGGGAGCGUAGACGGUGAAGUAAGUCUGGAGUGAAAGGCGGGGGCCCAACCCCCGGACUGCUCUGGAAACUAUUUGACUGGAGUGCAGGAGGGGUAAGCGGAAUUCCUAGUGUAGCGGUGAAAUGCGUAGAUAUUAGGAGGAACACCAGUGGCGAAGGCGGCUUACUGGACUGUAACUGACGUUGAGGCUCGAAAGCGUGGGGAGCAAACAGGAUUAGAUACCCCAGUA